rnacentral:pre_miRNA from 1 species
UCUUAUGGAUGAGCAAAGAAAGUGGUUUCUUGAGAUGGAAUCCACUUUUGGUGAAGAUGCUGUGAA